UGGGGAAUAUUGGACAAUGGGCGGAAGCCUGAUCCAGCAAUACCGCGUGUGUGAAGAAGGCCUGAGGGUUGUAAAGCACUUUUAAUCGGGAGGAAGAGCGCUUGGUUAAUACCCAAGCGUGUGACAUUACCGAUAGAAACAGCACCGGCUAACUCCGUGCCAGCAGCCGCGGUAAUACGGAGGGUGCGAGCGUUAAUCGGAAUUACUGGGCGUAAAGCGUGCGUAGGUGGCGGAUGAAGUCAGAUGUGAAAGCCCCGGGCUUAACCUGGGAAUGGCAUUUGAAACUGGUUGGCUAGAGUUGAGUAGAGGGGAGUGGAAUUUCCGGUGUAGCGGUGAAAUGCGUAGAGAUCGGAAGGAACACCCGUGGCGAAGGCGGCUUCCUGGACUCAAACUGACGCUG
rnacentral:rRNA from 1 species